rnacentral:rRNA from 1 species
UUAAAUUGAAGAGUUUGAUCAUGGCUCAGAUUGAACGCUGGCGGCAGGCCUAACACAUGCAAGUCGAACGGUAACAGGAAGAAGCUUGCUG